UUAAUCCCCAGUGUUAAUUGUUGUGUUAAGUGUCUGCAUUAAUCCCCAGUGUUAAUUGUUGUGUUAAGUGUCUGCAUUAAUCCCCAGUGUUAAUCCCCAGUGUUAAUCCCCAGUGUUAAUCCCCAGUGUUAAUCCCCAGUGUUAAUUGUUGUUGUUAAUCCCCAGUGUUAAUUGUUGUGUUAAGUGUCUGCAUUAAUCCCCAGUGUUAAUCCCCAGUGUUAAUCCCCAGUGUUAAUCCCCAGUGUUAAUCCCCAGUGUUAAUCCCCAGUGUUAAUUGUUGUUGUUAAUCCCCAGUGUUAAUUGUUGCGUUAAGUGUCUGCAUUAAUCCCCAGUGUUAAUCCCCAGUGUUAAUCCCCAGUGUUAAUCCCCAGUGUUAAUCCCCAGUGUUAAUUGCCAGUGUUAAUCCCCAAUGUUAAUUGUUGCGUUAAGUGUCUGCAUUAAUCCCCAGUGUUAAUCCCCAGUGUUAAUUGUUGCGUUAAGUGUCUGCAUUAAUCCCAGCGUUAGUCGUCUGCGUAAAUCUUCUACAUAUAUAUUCAGUGUUAAUCCUCUGCGUUGAUUGCCAGCGUUUGGUGUUAUCUCAGCGUUCUGCUUGCUAACAGAACUUGUAGCUGCAUGAUUGAAGAUCUUUAACAUUUUUUCCCACAUGACGUUUUGAAUCUUGAUAAACGUGUUGAGUACGGCCGCCGCGUUCCUGUCCGCUUUCCUCUGAUGUUCAGCGUGCGAGUUUUCUGCCGUCGCCCGGAGAACAUGAGGACUGGAGCUGAUCCUGGAUCAGUGCUGAGACGUUCGGAUGAAUGUGAGACUUGGGCGAGACGCUACAGGAGUAAAGGAGGACGCUGUGGCGAAAGAGGAGUGUAAGAGGAAGUAGAAAGCGCUGAAUGGAUGGAGUGAAAAGGUGGAGAGAGAAAAAGGAGGGAAAGAUAAAAAGCGAGUGAGCGGGUUGGAUUUUCCCAGCCUGAACGCUUUUAUCACGUUCCUCGAGGGAGUUAUCGGAUUUGCUCCGCACUGCUGAGCGAGAGAAGAGAGAAGAGAG
ensembl:lncRNA